AACGCUCGUUCGUGGUCAGUACCGAGUUCAAUGUCAAUAUCAGAGGAACCGUAGUUGGCGCGCUGCGCACGAUUUUCUUUCGCAACGCAGUUCUUGGAUAUUCGGCACGAUUUCCGUACGAAACGCAUUCGCGCAUCCGUUUCAUAUAUAUUUGUCGUACAUUAUUGUACCCGCCGCCGUCGCCGCGUUACAUUCGGUUCACCGCGCCGAAAACCAACGUUGACCCCCCGUCAUUUGCCGUCGGCUGCGGUGACCACAGUGCACGGUACCACUCCGUCAUGUACCCGAACCCGUGGAUAAGGAAACACUCGACCAUCAGGCAGGUGAUCGACAAGCUGUUGUCGUUGAACACGAACAAGACGAAAAAGUUCGACGCCAUGCUGAACAAGAAGAAACAAAGCGGCGGCAACAGGACCGCAGCGGUGGACAAGCGUAAGCGUUAGCCGUCGUCGGUGAACAUAACGCGAAUUCUCGCCGCCACUGGUCGAGUCGAUUCUAUCACGCGAACGCGCUCAAACGCACGGCGAACGUCGGGCAACUUUUCCUCCUUGCCGAGGAUAUUGUACUUGUAAUGUUGCCGGACGUCUUCCAGUCUACUAGCGGACCACCGGAAGAUCGCGAUCCACGCAUCUCCUCCACCCGGUCACGCACCGUCGGUCCGGCUGCCGACACCGCCGCAGGGUUCCGUUCGACGACACGGCUCGCCUUCGCCGACGUCCGGGUCAACGGUCCACACCACCACCACGGUUGUCAUCGAAAUAUUAUCGUACCACGCAGUAUUACUAGUGACAUAAUAUUAUCAUUGUUAAGAUUUUACUCGAAGAACAAUACGUAUUCCUAUGGCGUAAGGCCGGGGCAAGACCAACCGCACGAGUCGACAAGCCGUUCGCAUUUUGUUCGCACGCGAUGAUGCUGUAAUGCAACACACGUCAUUAUAGAUUUCGGGUCAAAAUAGUGUUUAAUGUGCCCAUAUAAGCGGCCGAAAACAGAUUUGGACGAAAGUAUAAUGUACAAUGAACGGCGAUGAAGACUGACUCGUAGGUUGCGUGACAUACAACGCAACGACUACCAUCUGUUUCGCAAAAAGUAACGUUUAAAUGUUGAAGUGAAUGUGUGAACGCACAUUUCAGUCGAAACAAAAAUUCUACAAAAUACGGACUGCUAUACACGUAGUACAAUUUUUUUUUUUUUAAAUUAUUUUUGUUAUUGUUAUACGUUGUACAAAAUUGUACGAACUUGUAAUA